GGGGAUGUAGCUCAUCUGGUAGAGCGCGUGCUUAGCAUCUGUGAAUAAUCGCUCUUCCCAGAGCCGUUAGUCGGUACAUGUUCCUGCACGAGGUACUGGGUUCGACUCCCAGCUUCUCCA
rnacentral:tRNA from 1 species